rnacentral:lncRNA from 1 species
UUUAGUCAAGGAUUUUCGGUGAAUAACUUGUUGUUUUAAAAUUAAAGUUCAAGGGAGUUGAGGAAUACACUGUCAAGGACCUCUCGCGACUUCGUGAACAAUGGGCUACAUACGUUGCCAAGUUAAUUACAGCCUACAAUCACGAGGUAACAUACAAGUAAUUUAUGAUUAUUUUUCCUUAAAACAAAUCUAGACUUAUUUUUUGUGGUGUGCUAAUUGAUUUUAUAUACUUGUAGGUGGAAAAAAAAUGAAGGCAUAUGCAGACUCCAAAAUCAGUGACUCCAAAAUCAGUGACAUUGUUAUCUGUUUUUUCUUCUUGGCUAAAUUUUCCGAAAUUAAUUUAGUACUUUAUCGUGUAUACUACUUGUUCAAAGCUUAAUUUAGUACUUGAACUUGUUUUUUACCCCCAAACAAUGAUGUAUUUGAACUAUUUUAAUUUAACUGAUGUAUUUGAAAUGUGUAUUAUGUGAAUUGCAUUACAAGAUUUGGUAUGUUUAAUAUAUUUUGGGUUUAUUUUAAUUGUAAAAUAAACAUGAAUAAUGUCAUUAAAAAAAAUAAAACACAACCGGUAUAGCACCGUUAAUACUGACACUAAUUAUUUAAAUGACGAUAAUGAAUCAGCUCAAACACCUAUUGUGUGCUUCUUUAUAGUUAUCUUUUUAUUGCGUAUUGUAUGCAUUUUAUAAACUGUGAGGGUACUUAUAAUGGUGACUAUGUUGCAUACUGUUGAAUAGAUUAUAUGAAUAUUCAUAUAGACAUGAAUUAGGAUUUGGGAUAUACACAAUGUACUGCAUAUCCCAACACAAAACAAUUGUUUGGGUUGCAAAGUAGUUGUUAGUGGGGAUGUGCUAUGGUGUCGUUGCUUGUACUUUACUUUGAUGAGGAUAAGUUGUCAUCCUAAUUAAGGUUUUGUAUCUACAUCCAUAUUUGUAUUAAAUCGCGUACUGUUGGGGUUCACAAGUUGCUUCGGCUAUCAAAUAUUGUUGCUGUUGGGGUUCAUAAGUUGUUUUUUUUUUUUUUUGGAAUUACCAUGAUCAGGAUGUUCAGUAUUUACCUAUAUAAUUUUGGAUAAAACAGUAACAUUGUUGGAGUUUAUUUGUUGGCUUUAAUUGUUAACACACAAAUAUAUUUAAAUGAAUGAUAAUUAAGUGGUUUAGUCAAGGAUUUUCGGUGAAUAACUUGUUGUUUUAAAAUUAAAGUUCAAGGGAGUUGAGGAAUACACUGUCAAGGACCUCUCGCGACUUCGUGAUCAGUGGGCUACAUACGUUGCCAAGUUAAUUACAGCCUACAAUCGUGAGGUAACAUACAAGUAAUUUAUGAUUAUUUUUCCUUAAAACAAAUCUGUGAUUUAUUUUUUGUGGUGUGCUAAUUGAUUUUAUAUACUUG